CUCUGCUGUAACGUGACACUUUCUAAGGCUCCCAUAGGCUCUCAGAAGGCGCCAGAAUGUUGAAUGAUGACUCUGCAGUCUCUGGCUGAAAAACAGUAGCGCAUUUGGAUAGUGGUCGAUCUGAGAACAAUGACACGGGCGCACACGUGCACGUGAAGAGUCCAUUUUGCAUUUUCAGUCUUUGAAUGAAAACAACGACUCCCGGUCGGAAUAUUAUCGCUAUUUUACGAGAAAAAUCGCAUAAAAAUUGAUUUUAAACAGCGUUUGACAUGCUUCGAACUACGGUAAUGGAAUAUUUUGAAUUUUUUUGUCACGAUACGCGUCCGCGCGUCACCCUUCGUUACCCUUCGGAUAGUGUCUUGAACGCACAAACAAAACGCCGCUAUUUGGAUAUAACUAUGGAUUAUUUGGAACCAAACCAACAUUUGUUGUUGAAGUAAAAGUCCUGGGAGUGCAUUCUGACGAAGAAUAGCAAAGGUCCCAAGUACUGAUGAGGCCGGAUGGAUAGGGGCCAGAUGCGUGAUGAGCCGGACCGAUGGGGGCCUCUCAUGUGAUGAGCCGGACCGAUGGGGGCCUCUCGUGUGAUGAGCCGGACCGAUGGGGGCCUCUUGCGUGUCAUAAAGUGACAGCAGCACAUGACCUUUACGAGUUUGGGCCACAAUUUGCAGAAGAUUAGUCGACCCGAAAAUGUAAAUGAAGCGCAGAAAGGGCAAGCGAAUCAAUUUCUCUUUAGAUAUUAAUAGUCUGAGGGAAAGCACUGGAAUGGAAAAUAAAACAUUUACAUUUGCAUUUACACAGAUUAAGUUUAAAAAAUAGAAAAUAAUAGACUGGACUGAAAGACAGUGAGUUGUGACCUUCUUAGGUUGGUUGAUGGUAUAGAGUUUUUUUUAAAGGUAUUCUUACCUGUGAUUGUAGGCCACAUUUGCUGUGCACUUCAAAGCAGUAGACUUUAACUUCUUGUAGCUUGAUAUUGUUGCAAGAUGGCGCCGACAGAGAUAGUCACCUCGUUUUGGGUGCUUAGGAAACUAUGCAGUAUUUUUUUUAUGUAUUAUUUAUUACAUUGUUAGCCCAGAAAAUCUUAAACCUCAUCCAUAUAUCUAUAUGUACAUAUUCUUAUUCCAUCCCUUUAGAUUGGUGUGUAUUAGGUAGUUAUUGGGGAAUUCCUCCACUUUUCAACCUAAUUUUCAGCACAAUACCAGUGUCAACGUAAUGUGAAAACGGCGCAUUUCUACUUUUUUGUAAAAAACAUAUAAAGUUAAAAAGUUCUACCCAAUGAUGUCAUCAAAAGUUAAAACAUUUUAAAAACGGUGAUUUUCAAAAACUAUGAGAUUUGCGGUGAUGUGGGGAGCACAACAAAUCCCCUCCCUCUGGCUAGAAACUCAUAGCAGGUUUUGAAAAUCACUGUUUUUUCUUACAUUUAAUCCUACCCUGUUAUGUCACAGAGAAGUAUAUUUUCUUCUUAACGUUUUAAACACAGAUCAUAAAAAAACGUGCCGUUUUUCUUGAAUUUGAAAAUUGACGGAAUUGCCCUUUAAGAACAUGAUCCAUCUUUUUUUAUUGACACUAAAGACAUUAAAUAAUCUGUGUAUUGAGCAUAGAUCCAGAAAUCUCAAAUUAUUGUGAUGCUCUCAUGCUAUUUAAAUUCAACCAAAAGUGACUUCUUCCAAAAACUUAAACGGGGUGAAUACAUUAUGAAAGUGUUGGGUCAGAGGGAUCAGUUUAGUGUGAGAUGAGUUCCCACGAUGAGAUUUCCCUUGUGAAGGGGGUCAAGGUUGGAUCGUAAUCCAAUCAAGUUUAUUCACUGUGCAGUCGCUUUAAUAUGCGGUCACAGUGCUCUUGGAUGCUAGGAGGGUAAACACCUAGAAAUUGUCCUUGAAAAACCUCCUUUGCUGAAGUGACAGGAAAAGAAAGUAAAUGAGUUUUAUCAAAAAUGUCCUAUGUGGAUACACCUCAAAUUUACUUUAAAUUCAUUUGGACUUUGAGCCAUUAGCUGACAUUUAUAGGUUCCAUGUUACGCAUAAACACAUGACCAAAACAAAUCUUUCUCUAACACGACUGAACUAAAUUACUAUCGCCCAGUAGCCCUCACUUCUGUCAACAUGAAGUGCUUUGAGAGACUAGCCAAGGAUCAUAUCACCUCUACCUUACCUGUCCCUCUAGACCCACUUCAAUUUGCUUACCUCCCCAAUAGAUCCACAAAAGAUGCAAUCGCCAUUACUCUGCACACUGCCCUAUCCCAUCAGGACAAGAGGAUUAUCCUAUGUAAGAACGCUGUUCUUUGACUAUAGCUCAGCGUUCAACACCAUAGUACCCUCCAAGCUCAUCAUUAAGCUCGAGGCCCUGGGUCCGAACCCCUACCUGUGCAACUGGGUCCUGGACUUCCUGACGGGCCACCCCCAGGUGGUGAAAGUAGGAAACAACAUCUCCACUUCACUGAUCCUCAACACUGGAGACCCCAAGAGUGUGUGCUCAGCCCCCUCUUGUACUCCCUGUUCACCCAUGACUUCGUGGCCAAGCACGCCUCCAACUCAAUCAUCAAGUUUGCAGACGACACAACAGUACUAGAGCAUCCUGUCGGGCUGUAUCACCGCCUGGUAUGGCAACUGCACCUCCCGCAACUGCAGGGCUCUCCAGAGUGUGGUGCAGUCUGCCCAACGAAUGCACCGGGGCAAACUGCCUGCCCUCCAGGACACCUACAGCACCCGAUGUCACAGCAAUGCCAAAAAGAUCAUCAAGGACAACAACCACCCGAGCCACUGCCUGUUCACCACGCUAUCAUCCAGAAGGCGAGAGGACCUAAGACUUCGCUUCAGGACUACCUGGCCUGGCGUCUCCUGGCUGUCCCUGUCCCCAGUCCACCUGUUCGCCCUGCUGAUCCAGUUUCUGCUGUUCUGCCUUGCAGCUACAUCCCGGACCUGCUGUUUUGACUCUCUCUCUCUCUCUCUCUCUCUCUCUCUCUCUCUCUCUCUCUCUCUCUCUCUCUCU
rnacentral:lncRNA from 1 species